rnacentral:rRNA from 1 species
AACGAACGCUGGCGGCGUGCCUAACACAUGCAAGUCAACUUGACUGAAGGAGCAAUCUGACAGUAGAGUGGCGCAAGGGUGCGUAACGCGUAAGUAACUUGCCCAAGGUAAGGAAUAACGUCGAGAAAUCGGCGCUAAUACCUCAUAAUGCAGCGGAUCCGCAUGGAUAUGUUGUUAAAGGUUUACCGCCUUGGGAUAGGCUUGCGUCUGAUUAGCUAGUUGGUGUGGUAACGGCACACCAAGGCUACGAUCAGUAACUGGUCUGAGAGGAUGAUCAGUCACACUGGAACUGAGACACGGUCCAGUCUCCUACGGGAGGCAGCAGUGAGGAAUAUUGGGCAAUGCUCGAAAGAGUGACCCAGCAACGCCGCGUGGAGGAUGAAGGUAUUCUAUAUCGUAAACUCCUGUGAGAGCAGACGAAGACAGAUUAUAAUCUGGAUGACUGUAUGCUCAGAGGAAGCCCCGGCUAACUACGUCG